GAUGAACGCUGGCGGCGUGCCUAAUACAUGCAAGUCGAGCGAACAGACGAGGAGCUUGCUCCUCUGACGUUAGCGGCGGACGGGUGAGUAACACGUGGAUAACCCACCUAUAAGACUGGGAUAACUUCGGGAAACCGGAGCUAAUACCGGAUAAUAUAUUGAACCGCAUGGUUCAAUAGUGAAAGACGGUUUUGCUGUCACUUAUAGAUGGAUCCGCGCCGCAUUAGCUAGUUGGUAAGGUAACGGCUUACCAGGGCAACGAUGCGUAGCCGACCUGAGAGGGUGAUAGGCCACACUGGAACUGAGACACGGUCCAGACUCCUACGGGAGGCAGCAGUAGGGAAUCUUACGCAAUGGGCGAAAGCCUGACGGAGCAACGCCGCGUGAGUGAUGAAGGUCUUCGGAUCGUAAAACUCUGUUAUUGGGGAAGAACAAAUGUGUAAGUAACUAUGCACGUCUUGACGGUACCUAAUCAGAAAGCCACGGCUAACUACGUG
rnacentral:rRNA from 1 species